UACGAAGGGGGCUAGCGUUGUUCGGAAUCACUGGGCGUAAAGCGCACGUAGGCGGAUCUUUAAGUCAGGGGUGAAAUCCCGAGGCUCAACCUCGGAACUGCCUUUGAUACUGGGGAUCUCGAGUCCGGGAGAGGUGAGUGGAACUGCGAGUGUAGAGGUGAAAUUCGUAGAUAUUCGCAAGAACACCAGUGGCGAAGGCGGCUCACUGGCCCGGAACUGACGCUGAGGUGCGAAAGCGUGGAAGCGAACAGG
rnacentral:rRNA from 1 species